GAUGAAGAACGUAGCGAAAUGCGAUACUUGGUGUGAAUUGCAGAAUCCCGUGAACCAUCGAGUCUUUGAACGCAAGUUGCGCCUCAAGCCAUUAGGUUGAGGGCACGUCUGCCUGGGCGUCACAUAUCUUUGCCUGAUGCCAGUUUCCUCGUGAUGGGUGACUGUGCAGGGCGAAUGAUGGCUUCCCGUGAGCAUUGUUGCCUCAUGGUUGGUUGAAAAUUGAGUCCUUGGUAGGGAGCGCCGUGAUAGAUGGUGGUUGAGUGACGAACGAGACCCAAUCAUGUGAGACCCCUACCGAAUUUGGCCUUCAUGACCCACAUGCGUCUUUGGAACGCUCAUGACGAGACCUCAGGUCAGGCGGGGCUACCCGCUGAGUUUAAGCAUAUCAAUAAGCGGAGGA
rnacentral:misc_RNA from 1 species